AAUGAACGCUGGCGGCGUGCUUAACACAUGCAAGUCGAGCGAGAACGUCGACUUCGGUCGAUUAGUACAGCGGCGAACGGGUGAGUAACACGUGGGCAACUUGCCCUGGAGUGGGGGAUAACCUGGGGAAACUCGGGCUAAUACCGCAUACGACCUCAGCACUGCGGUGCUGAGAGGAAAGCUAGCCUAUUCUUGAAAGCUAGCGCUCUUGGAGGGGCCCGCGCCCGAUUAGCUUGUUGGUGAGGUAACGGCUCACCAAGGCGGUGAUCGGUAGCCGGCCUGAGAGGGCGAUCGGCCACACUGGGACUGAGACACGGCCCAGACUCCUACGGGAGGCAGCAGUGGGGAAUAUUGGACAAUGGGCGCAAGCCUGAUCCAGCAACGCCGCGUGGAGGACGAAGGCCUUCGGGUCGUAAACUCCUGUCAGUUGGGACGAAAAGUCGUCGGUCAAUAGCCGGCGAUCAUGACGGUACCAGCAGAGGAAGCCCCGGCUAACUCCGUG
rnacentral:rRNA from 1 species